AAAAAAGAGACCACAUGCAUCAUCUGUACACACCCAGCACCCAGGAAUGUCUGAUUUCUCUGUUCUGCAACCAGCCUUAUGCAUGCCCCUCUGAACUCAAAAAGAUCCUGGCUUCUGCAUCCAGCCCCAUUUGGUCCACAACUCUACCCCAGGCCCGCUCUCUCCCUCAGCCAAGUGGAGUCCCUACAAAACGUGGUGCACAACUGGAGACAGGACAAAGAUUUCACCUGAUGCCACGUGACGACGAGCUCAAGCACACGCAUUUUAAAAGAGGGGCCACAACACAACUUUGGGCAGAAGGGGGCAGAGGACAAUCAAGAUCUAGACUGAUCAGUGAGGAGGACAGACAAUUAUCCUGACCCUUUUGGCAUUUAUGUUGGCUAUAAAGAAGCACCAUUCAGGCAAUAAACAAGUAGUGAGCACAUCAGAAAAUAUGACUACGAAUUAGGGAAGAAACG
rnacentral:lncRNA from 1 species